CUGCUGUAACGUGACACUUUCUAAGGCUCCCAUAGGCUCUCAGAAGGCGCCAGAACGUUGAAUGAUGACUCUGCAGUCCCUGGCUGAAAAACAGUAGCGCAUUUGGAUAGUGGUCGAUCUGAGAACAAUGAAACGGCCGCGCGCGUGCACGUGAAGAGUCCAUAUUACAUUUUCAGUCUUUGAACGAAAACGACGUCUCCCGGUGGGAAUAUUAUCGCUAUUUUUACGAGAAAAAUCGCAUAAAAAUUGAUUUUAAACAGCGUUUGACAUGCUUCUAAGUACGGUAAUGGAAUAUUUUGAAUUUUUUUGUCACGAUACGCGCCGGCGCGUCACCCUUCGGAUAGUGUCUUGAAUGCAAGAACAAACGCAGCUAUUUGGAUAUAACUAUGAAUUAUUUGGAAUCAAACCAACAUUUUUUGUUGAAGUAGAAGUCCUGGGAGUGCAUUCUGACGAAGAACAGCAAAGGUGAACGUGGUACCUUCAGGCGUUUGGAAAUUGCUCCCAAGGAUGAACCAGACUUGUGGAGGUCUACAAUUUUUUUCUGAGGUCUUGGCUGAUUUCUUUUGAUUUUCCCAUGAUGUCAAGCAAAGAGGCACUGAGUUUGAAGAGACCAAGGCCAUGGAGGAAUAUAUUGAGGACUCUGUCUGCUGGAGGAAUCAGGCCUUCGGCAUCCCCUGCCGGCGCAGGGACCCUGCUUCCGUGCAUUGCCUACAUUGAAUACUACUAUGCCUUAUUGACUGAGGUGUUGAUGUUGCCUUGACUCUGAACCUGCCUGCCUGACCAUACUGCCUGCCCUGACCUCGAGCCUGCCUGCCACUCUGUACCUCCUGGACUCUGACCUUGUUAUGAUCUUUUGCCUGUCCACGACCCUUCUCUUGCCAGCCCUUUGGAUACUAAUAAAUAUCAGAGACUCGAACCAUCUGCCUCCCGUAUCUGCAUCUUGGUCUCGCCCUGUGCCCUUAUAAAUUCAAUAAGACAAAAGCUGCAAAAUGGAGAGUUGAAAAUAAAGAGAACGGAGGCCCAGAAAAGUAAUGUUUGGAAAAUAUUUGGUGAAGUUGUAAAGUAGGAUGAUAAUUAUUUGUGGUGAUUGUCAGUUGCUAUAGAAAUUUGACAGUCACAAGAUGGGACUUUAAAUAGACAUAUGGCAUGUCAAGGGAUGUUUAGAUGAGUUAAAUGGAAACUGAAAUGUGGACACUGACUGUAUGUGUAUAACCUCUCUCAUAGCCUUAAUAAUAAUAAGCAUUUUUUGCAGUAAAAUUAUACACCAAAAGUAGGCAAAAUUUGGUCUUGGGAACAGGAGUGGAGAAAUUUUAUUUCUGCAUCUUGAGAGAAUGCAAUGCUCAGUUCUAUUUUGAUAUUUUAUUAGGAUCCCCAUUAGCUGUUGCAAAAGCAGCAGCUACUCUUCCUGGGACCACACAAAACAUGACAUAAUACAGAACAUUAAUAGUCAAGGACAGAAUUACAUCAAUUUCAAAAAGGCACACGUAGCCUACAUAUUAGUGUAUAUACACACAAACUAUCUAGGUCAAAUAGGGGAGAGGCGUUGUGCCUUGAGGUGUUGCUUCAUCUGUUUUUUGAAACCAGGUUUAAUGUUCACUUGUGCUAUAUGAGAUGGGAGUUUCGUGCAAUAAUGGCUCUAUAUAACACUGUAUGAUUUCUUGAAUUUGUUCUGUAUUUGGGGACUAUUGUAUAAACUCCUAGCGGCAUGUCUGGUGGGGUAAGUGUGUGUGUGUGUGUGUG
rnacentral:lncRNA from 1 species